rnacentral:rRNA from 1 species
UACGUAGGGUGCAAGCGUUAAUCGGAAUUACUGGGCGUAAAGCGUGCGCAGGCGGUUGUGCAAGACAGGUGUGAAAUCCCCGGGCUUAACCUGGGAACUGCACUUGUGACUGCACAGCUGGAGUACGGCAGAGGGGGAUGGAAUUCCGCGUGUAGCAGUGAAAUGCGUAGAUAUCAAGAGGAACACCUGAGGUGAAGACGGGUUGCUGGGCUGACACUGACGCUGAGGCGCGAAAGCCAGGGGAGCAAACGGG